CGGUUUUGAUACUAAAUAUGAAACGGUUAAUUUUGGUUAACGGUUCCGAUAUUAUUCCCUGUAUAUAAAUAUAUCCAAUAAAUA